rnacentral:lncRNA from 1 species
UCCACGGUACUAACUAAUAAGCUUUACAUUCCAAUAUCUUUGUUUUAUGUAACUGUUGCUCCCAAAUUAUUCAGAAAUCUUAACCAAAGUGUAAACAUAUAAUAUUAUAUAACAGAAACUAUGUAUCAACCAAAAAAUCACAAUUAUUUUAACUGUAUAUACAACUACUGGUACUCCAAUAAUAUUUUCUUCUUUCAGUGCUCGUCCUUCAACACAACACAAGGUUUGACUCAAUAUUGCUAUCAUCCUUUGCCGAGGUGAAGUGGAGACUGAAUUUCAGCAGCAAGAAGACCUUGAUCAUCACCCAAAUUGCUUCUUUAUACCUCUCAAAUCCUUGUUAGUCGUGAAGGCAGCCCAAAUAAGAGAUGAUAAAUUUAAGAAUAUCAAGAGGCAAAUAAGUGACGAGCCUCCACAUAAAUGAUUAUGCCCACCCCCAACUGAUUCCUUUUAUCCUGACAAAGUCCCAGUUUGAAUAUACAACAAAAUCUCACGUAGAAAUGUUCAACAACUUACCAACAACCCCAACAGAUUGGGCUUCAUGUAAUUAAGAUAAGUUAAUGUUAAAAUAAGCUGUGGUGUAUCUAGUACUUUGAUGUGACUAAUGUUGAAAUGCACAAGCGAAAACUGUAUCUCAAUGUUAAUAAAAUCUGAAGAGGUAAGGCACAAUAAAAAAUAUUAUCAAUACCUUAAACAAUAGGUAAUAUGAAAGUCCUUUUUAAAGUUUAAAAUUUAUUGGGGUAGAAAUUAAGCAAAAAAUGCUCCAAGUAUAAUGAAAAACUCUACAAAGUGAAUUCAAUAUCAGAAUAAGCCACUAAAUACCUUGACUACCAUAGUCUUAUGUGUAGACUCGUCUUAAUAACUCAGAAAAAUGAGCAGCUAGAAUAGUUUCUUCUUGGGAUUGAACUAUAUCUCCCAUUUUCUUCUACCAUAUCUCUUGUUCUUUUGUUGUCUUUCCUAUGCUACCAGUCUUCCAGUGUUGUUUCUUAACCUCACAUAAUAAAGAAGCAUUUUGUAUGGUUGAGUUUAUAGGUAACCCAGUGGACUUUGACACUUCUGGUUCUUCUUGGUCUACCUAUAAUCUGUAGUAGAAUAUUUUCAUCCACAUCUUUUUAUCCUAUCACUAUAACUUCAUUCUCAAGAUCACUUAGUUCAACAACUAUGUGCAAUAUACCCCUUCUUUUACUCCGGUUAAAGAUUUCUUCAGAACAUGGGCAUCGCCUAACACCAAAAUUUUAGAUUAGUUUCUACCAUUUUCGAUGUUGAAAAUGGGACCAAUGUAAAUCUACCGGCUAGCUAAAAAUCACUUAAUUAUAAAAACUUUACAACCUUCUACAACAAUAGUAGAAAAUCAACCAUGAGAUAACAAUUGUCUAUUGCCUAAGCUGUUCAAAUGCAGAAACAAAGACGCAUGAAAUUCAAGUUCCACAGAGCAGGGGAAAAAAUAUCAACAGGAGCAUCAGAUCUGCAAUACCUUUUUCAAGUCAACUAAUAUCAAAGAACUAACACUUCUUCAUGUGACUGAAGCUCCUAGUUAGUAGGCAAAGUCCCUUCAAUUCAAAACAGUCAAUGCAGAUUCUGGAAUGAGGCCAUCCGCAUUUCUUUUGACUAUAUUGAAAGUUCAAGCUUUGAAGCUAAUCUUCAGGCGGUCCUUUCAAUUUUCCAUAAGACUGCACCGUCGAGCCAUAUGCGCCCUAGUCCCUACACCUAGUAAUUUCAACAUAGAGCAUGAAUAUAUGUGGUAAAUUAGUAAACUAUGAGCAUAUAUCAAAUUUUGAACUCACAAUUACAAAAGUUGGCAGGAAAAUACUUCCAACAGUGUUACCAGCAUAUGCAAUCUAGGAUAUACUUGUAAUCCCCUGUUUUUUAGGGCAAAUACAUUAUCAGCUCCUCAAACGUGUUUCAAUAUUUCAUCUAGCAACCUAAAACCUAUGACCUUUUAAAAACUUGACCUCUAUGGAACAUAGUGUGUGCACUACCUUGAUAACAUGUAAUACAGAGUCGGCACUAUCUUGCAUUAAAAUUGACAUCUACUCUAAAGUGUAGACAGUAACAGAAGCUUAGAAAUCUAGAAAACAGGGAAAAACAAAAUGUUUCAGAAGUAUCAGAAGUUCUUGCCUUGUAUAAAGGCAUCUCCCAGCAAAGGACCGUUCAAGGAAGACAAAGAGAAAGAGAAAAAGAUAUUGAUGUCCGUAGAAGGAGCACUUUGGUGUCAUGACUCCGCCCUUCAUUGCAGGGUAAAAGGGGAGACGGUUCCCAAGGGGUGGCUAGUUCGAGUAAGAGAGACAAAUAGAGAUAAUGUCCUUUUUUCUGAGAGACCCCAUAUCUCAAGGCACAUCACGACCUACAGGCAACAAGCCAUCACAUGUUGGAUGGUAUUUAAUUUUCUAUUAUCCAAUAUGGUAAAACUGUCAGUUCAAAAAAAUUCAAGAAAAAAGGAUGAAGAAAUAACCGUAUUUCAAAAAUACUCAUUCAGUCAUUUAAGAAGUUCUUACUGGCACCAGUUGUAUGGUAGGCUGGCUGUUCUAUUUCUCUGCAAUCAUGUUGUUCGCAAGUAAACAAGACAAAUAGCUUUUACACAAAGUUAAAGAAUUGAGCAACUGAUUAUUAAAUACAUUGAGAUAGCAAUGUAAAAGGAAGUGGAAGAAUAAGUAGAUGGUCAAAUCUAUGAUAUCGAAUAAGAUCAUAUAAGCAUUAAGAUAUAGUAAUAUGAUGGAAACCCCUUACUACUGAACUUCUUUCCGAAAUUGAGGUAAGUAAAAGUCCAUUCUCAACCUCGUUGACAAUUUGACAAAAAAGAAACAAAUGUGAAUAUUUGUAAGAGAUUAAGCAAAAUAAACAUGAGUAAAAGGACGAAAUAGAGCAGAAAUUCAUCCAAAUUGGAGAUAGUGAAAGACUUACAUGGACGUCUUUGGAUAAUUUCAUCAUAAACAAUAUUAUAUGUCGAAUGGAUAUCGUGGUUGGCUGGUUGGCUAGUUGGCUAGUGUGGAUGGACGAAUUGGCACUUUCACGGAGUUUGAACUCUUUGCUCUCGAUAAAGCAAAUCAGUUAUUUUAAUGACCUGCAAUAAUUAAUUCAGUGAACAGAAAACACUUGAUGAAGCUAAAUACAAAUUUAAGUUCAAGAACUCAAAUCACCGUGGGACAAAAACAUAACCAAAACAAAGAUACAAAUUACAAGCUACAGAGGCACUAUUGGUCCAUGUAUCAGAUACAUGGUUAAAAGAUGGAUUGUAACUUUUAGUGACUUAUCAGAUUCUCAAACAUAUCCUAUGCUACAUACACAGUUUGCCUCGGCAAAAUAAAGCCAGUAAUUACAUCAUGUAUAGCCACACUUAAAUUCAUCGUCAUGCAAAGUGUCUAUUCUGAAGAAUUCCAAGAGAAUCAAAAUUGUCUAAUCAACAACUGGUUGGAUGGCAAUUGCCCCCACUCUAUAGAAAAACUUACUCAUUUAUUGCGCGGAGGAGAAACUCAUGGCAAGAUGGAGUUUUACGGGAGUAUAAAGAUUAAAUACAAUUGAGUGGUCAACGGCAUAACAGAACGAACACGUAAAUGCAGCAUGUUUGCCUAUAAACGCCCUUUUUUCAAAUCAAACAAGUAGAUACCUGAUGUCCUGAUCUUUCACUUUCUGCAAAAUAAUCAGGUAAAUCGUAGUUGAAAGGCAUGGAACUAAAAACCCCAAAUAAAAACAGGAAUACACAACUACAUGCAUAAAUUGCAGCAUAUAAGAAGUGACAAAAUUGAAGAAAACACCGUUCCAUCGAGCUCGCAGAUUGGAAGCGAAUAUGGUAUAAGAAUCACUCAUUUUAAUCGAUAAACUUGAUGAAACAAAACUAAACUAUGGGGGAAAUGUAACUUUUGGAGUUUCCACUCUUAAUCACAGAGCAAGUAAAGUCAACCAAACUAUUACCGGAGAAAGCAAAUAACAGCAAUUUAGAUUACAAAUUUAGACCUUUCCUGAAUAAAUAACCGAAAAAACAAAAUAAAACAAACAGAAAGGCCAAUGCAUAGUGCAAACUAACCAGUUCACUGUUGGAAUCGAAAAGCCUACUCUAGACAAAGAGGAA